UGGAUCGGGUGGGGGCAUCAGCAAGUGUUUUAUAUAUACCUCUUUCCAUUGGCUCUGGUGCUCUCCAUACCUAUCUCUUUCUCUCUCCUUUUCUUCUCUAGCGUUUUCUGCAACAAUUUCGGUCUCCUUCUAAGAAGCAGGGAAUCUGCAUUUUUGUGAAUUUAAGUUUACGUAUCUGCACAUUGGAGCUCCCUUUCACGUUUAGUGCUGGUUCCUUGUUGUAAUUUGAUGCUCGAAUCUAUGAUGACCUUUCAGUUUGAGAAGGCUAUUUAUCAUGGGAUGGUCCUUGGUUGUUGCAACAUAGAUGGUGAGGAACUGUACCCCAAUUUAGUGGCGCUUGCUGGUGUUUCAUAACUCUGUUGCUGAGGCUGGCUAAGCUGGAGAUGGACAGGUACAUGUGAGUCUUCUCCAUUGCUUAGACUGUUGGUAAGCAGUGGGUUUCUGAUUGCUCCAUUGGCAUCUCUUGUACCAUAAACCUGGGAUGUGUAAUUUUUCUGUUUGAGGGUGGUUUUCUAAUAUCUUACAAUUCGACAAAGGUUUAAUGAUUGAAUCAUACUAGUCUUUCAAGAUAUGACUGAUUUUGUGUUAUAUAUACCUAUACCUUCUUAUUCAGUUUGAUAUUCUCUUUA